rnacentral:ncRNA from 1 species
UUUUAUAAGAAUAUGAUGUUGGUUCAGAUUAAGCGCUAAAUAAGGACAUGACACAUGCGAAUCAUACGUUUAUUAUUGAUAAGAUAAUAAAUAUGUGGUGUAAACGUGAGUAAUUUUAUUAGGAAUUAAUGAACUAUAGAAUAAGCUAAAUACUUAAUAUAUUAUUAUAUAAAAAUAAUUUAUAUAAUAAAAAGGAUAUAUAUAUAAUAUAUAUUUAUCUAUAGUCAAGCCAAUAAUGGUUUAGGUAGUAGGUUUAUUAAGAGUUAAACCUAGCCAACGAUCCAUAAUCGAUAAUGAAAGUUAGAACGAUCACGUUGACUCUGAAAUAUAGUCAAUAUCUAUAAGAUACAGCAGUGAGGAAUAUUGGACAAUGAUCGAAAGAUUGAUCCAGUUACUUAUUAGGAUGAUAUAUAAAAAUAUUUUAUUUUAUUUAUAAAUAUUAAAUAUUUAUAAUAAUAAUAAUAAUAAUAUAUAUAUAUAUAAAUUGAUUAAAAAUAAAAUCCAUAAAUAAUUAAAAUAAUGAUAUUAAUUACCAUAUAUAUUUUUAUAUGGAUAUAUAUAUUAAUAAUAAUAUUAAUUUUAUUAUUAUUAAUAAUAUAUUUUAAUAGUCCUGACUAAUAUUUGUGCCAGCAGUCGCGGUAACACAAAGAGGGCGAGCGUUAAUCAUAAUGGUUUAAAGGAUCCGUAGAAUGAAUUAUAUAUUAUAAUUUAGAGUUAAUAAAAUUAAUUAAAGAAUUAUAAUAGUAAAGAUGAAAUAAUAAUAAUAAUUAUAAGACUAAUAUAUGUGAAAAUAUUAAUUAAAUAUUAACUGACAUUGAGGGAUUAAAACUAGAGUAGCGAAACGGAUUCGAUACCCGUGUAGUUCUAGUAGUAAACUAUGAAUACAAUUAUUUAUAAUAUAUAUUAUAUAUAAAUAAUAAAUGAAAAUGAAAGUAUUCCACCUGAAGAGUACGUUAGCAAUAAUGAAACUCAAAACAAUAGACGGUUACAGACUUAAGCAGUGGAGCAUGUUAUUUAAUUCGAUAAUCCACGACUAACCUUACCAUAUUUUGAAUAUUAUAAUAAUUAUUAUAAUUAUUAUAUUACAGGCGUUACAUUGUUGUCUUUAGUUCGUGCUGCAAAGUUUUAGAUUAAGUUCAUAAACGAACAAAACUCCAUAUAUAUAAUUUUAAUUAUAUAUAAUUCUAUAUUAUUUAUUAAUAUAAAGAAAGGAAUUAAGACAAAUCAUAAUGAUCCUUAUAAUAUGGGUAAUAGACGUGCUAUAAUAAAAUGAUAAUAAAAUUAUAUAAAAUAUAUAUAAAAUAUAUUUAAUUAAUAAUAUAAAACAUUUUAAUUUUUAAUAUAUUUUUAUAUUAUAUAUUAAUAUGAAUUAUAAUCUGAAAUUCGAUUAUAUGAAAAAAGAAUUGCUAGUAAUACGUAAAUUAGUAUGUUACGGUGAAUAUUCUAACUGUUUCGCACUAAUCACUCAUCACGCGUUGAAACAUAUUAUUAUCUUAUUAUUUAUAUAAUAUUUUUUAAUAAUUAUUAAUAUUAUUAAUUUAUAUUUAUUUAUAUCAGAAAUAAUAUGAAUUAAUGCGAAGUUGAAAUACAGUUACCGUAGGGGAACCUGCGGUGGGCUUAUAAAUAUC